GACGAACGCUGGCGGCGUGCCUAAUACAUGCAAGUCGAGCGGGUUUAUCCUUCGGGAUAAGCUAGCGGCGGACGGGUGAGUAACACGUAGGCAACCUGCCUUCAAGAUCGGGAUAACUAUCGGAAACGAUAGCUAAGACCGGAUAGCUGGUUUUCUCGCAUGAGAGAAUCAUGAAACACGGAGCAAUCUGUGGCUUGAAGAUGGGGCCUGCGGCGCAUUAGCUAGUUGGUGAGGUAACGGCUCACCAAGGCGACGAUGCGUAGCCGACCUGAGAGGGUGAACGGCCACACUGGGACUGAGACACGGCCCAGACUCCUACGGGUGGCUG
rnacentral:rRNA from 1 species